AACGGACAAGGCAUCAGCCUCUGGAGCUGGAAAUUCUGUGAGGCCUCCAAUCUUCAGGACCCAGACUGACGGUGAUCUGAAACACUUGAGUGUACAUCAUGUGGGCCACCAUUCCCAGAAGACCUGACACACAAAGAUGCUCUCUCACUGAUCUCAGUGGACAAAGCCUCUCACGAUGAAAAGAAGUCAGACGAGGAAGUGCUCGUUGCUCACUUCUAAUGCAAGAUGCUGCCUUGGCAUCGACAGAAUGGCAGCGGCGACGCCAACUUCUUGUCACAGUGAAAACGGCAGCAAAGGCGUUCAGCUUGAGUCCGUCGAUGACGUUGCUCGAGUGGAAGAGCUCCAAACACAUCAGGCUGAAGCCCACCACUAGCAGCAGGAUGUACAGGACCUCCGACACCACCGACAGCCACAGCACGCCUGGCACAACAAGCGCAACUCAUCAGGUGGGAGCAGCAUAUUGGCCGUCACCAAGAGAUUGGCCAGAGGAAGGACGCAAACUUUUUUUUCGACCCUCUGUUGGGUGCUGUGUGGGGCCUCAUCCCAAUCUUCCACUUCCCUCCCGGUCAUCCGUUGUGUGUUGUCAUCCACUUGUGAGUACUGAACGUAGAUGAAGAGAUGUGGUAGAUGUGGUGCCGUCUUUUGAAUUACCGGUAGUUUAUGACAGGAUGCAUGUCAUUAGAUGAUUUGCGUUAAAUAUGCUUCAGGAAGGUAGGUAGCUUGUGUUUGAUAGGAUCUACACUAUAUGGAUUGUUUGUGUAUGUACUUAUGUGUAGGAGAUAUUAAUUUGCAUGUGUGAAGGUAGGUAGAUAGUCUAUGAUGUGAUGUACAUUCGUAGGUCGACAAUGUAUGCAUCCAGGUAGAGGGAAGAUAUGUAAAUAUAUAUAUAUAUGAGCCGCUGGUUGAAAGAAGGCCUAUCUCUCAGCAUGGACUCAAUUCUCAAUCCAUUUCCCACUCUGUGAUUUCCUCGAGCAGGCGAGGACGCGUAAUGGCUGUCAUUACUCACCUCUCUCCGAGGCGGGGGCCAGGUCAAUGAAGCUGCGACACUUCUCACCUGAGACACACAGAAAGACACGCGAACCAGGGAGAUGAAGCAACGGGAGAGGCAACGAAUGAUAAGGUGAGAGCGGCUGAAAA